CUUCAUGUUACCAGUGUUAGAGGUGAAACCCACGCAGAGCCAUGAGAAUGACAGACAAAUGAUUUGCUGUUGCAUUGCACAGCCAUCUUAAACCCUGAUGUCAUAAAACUCAGUCUCCUGAAGAGAAAACCUGCGGGAUUCUUAGACAUAGGAAGGUCCACACAGGCUUCAACAGAGGAGUGUGGACACGAUGAAUGAUUCCUAGAGUGGUACAUUGUGGGAUCUUGCUAAGACCAGUGGCAGACACCAUUUUUGACAAUAUUUUCUCAUAGUUUGGUAUGCAGCGAGAAUGCUCCUUUGAUAAAUUGCUUAUGUAAGUCACUCUCUUUAUUAGUCAAGUAAUCUGAAAUAUAAAUUAUAAGCUUUUCAAGUAUUUGUUUUUUCACAUCUAGAAACUAAUGACUUUGGUUACUCUGGAGACUAUUAUGGCAGAUUUUUCUGCAAAUGACUAUUUAAAUGAGUUUUCAGUAUGGGAAAAAUAUGUCACUUGUAAGUAAUGUAUUCUGAUUAUUUUCUAAUGUUGAUAGUCAUUAAUAAAAAUCAUUUUCAGCCAUUUAGGUCAUAUUAAACUGUUAAAUUCAUUAUUAUUUAAUUAUAUUAAAUUUGUGUGACUCAAAAAUAACCAGGGGAUCUGAAUUCAAAAAAGAUAAUAUAAAAACAACAAGUAACUCGUGUGUUUUCUGUCUACCUGUGGCAAUCAUUGCUAAUUAGGAGAGUUAGAAAAUCAGAUGCUCACUAACCUUGUGUGCUAGGGAACCUAUCUCAACUUUCCUCUUUAUAAAAUUGAACCUAUUAAGAUGUGACUAAUCUAUAUCACAAGAUUUCUUUUGGUGCUAAGCAG
rnacentral:lncRNA from 1 species